CCAAAGUGUUUGAUUAGGGGUUAUGUCUGCAGUCAGUGCCUAGCAGAAUGAAAUACUACUUUUCAGAGUGUUUCUCAUGUCCUCCCUUUAUCAUUUUGUAUUGUAUACUAUUCUUUCAUCGGGGAUACUUAAAACUGGCAAGUAGUUUGCCUGCAGGUUUGCAGGAUUUUAUCCUGCUAUAUUAUUUCUCAACCUUAAUUAUAAUUCUAAGCCGUCUGUAUGUGAAGAUAAUCACAUAACAUUCAUAUGCACUAUAAGGAGGAUACAAACUGUUGAUUAAACCUUUCUAUUAUAUUUUUAUUUGUGUUUUGGUUGUUAGGCAAGUGAGCAUUUUAUACAUGGGUGCCUUUGUUCAAAGUUUUUUUUGUCUGGUGAGUAAAAGAAGCAGCUAGCAUCUUGAAAACUCACUUUUCUUUUCCCCAUAGUUUUUCUGCCUACACAAGAAAAGCUGAUGGGGCAUUGUGCUGAGGAGACCAUUCCAACUUCUUUUGUAUCAGCAUGAACACCUCUGAUCAAAUCAAAACACAGACUUGUUUGAGCAGUCCCACAUUGCAUUUUCCAAGCAAGUUUCCUUCAAAAACUCAUAAAAAUAUAAAUUCAUAAGAGAAAGAACAUUACAUGAGUGAUGAUGAACUGGAAAGAAUUGCUUGGCCAGCAGUCCAAACAUCAGAAUGGGUAUUUUUACAAUAUCUUAUAUAAAACUCGUCAAUUUACAUUGAGUGUGGCUACAAAACUGCAACUACACCAAAGACAAGAAAGUCAACACAUUGCAGUAUUGCAUUUAAGAACUCACUGUCAGCUUCUCAGCUAGACUGCAGAUUCUGUUGUAUGGAUUGCCCAUUUGGAAAUAUUUGCUCUACUUAAUAAUUAUAUUUGAAGGCAAAUUUGAGAAUAAAUCUCUAAAAGAUGUUUGGCUAUAGGUGUGAUUUUUUUUCCUGUGCCAGCAAGUGUACUCUAUUUCAAACUGAUAUAGCAAAUUAUGAUCAUUUAUGUAACAUCAUUCUUAGAAAAUGCCUAUGUGAUGUGAAGUAAUUCAGAGCGCCAAAUAUCUAAAUGCAGAUAUUUCUUAGAAUAUUAUGGAGAAAUGUGUGUUGCAUUAUACUGCCACAAAAGCAUCAUAAUUUAUGCUGUUCGUAGGAGUCACUUUCUUCAAAUAUAGGUAACCGUCUAAUUUUAACCCUUCAAAAACCUAUCAGAAACAAUAUAAUUUAAUUUUUGUUAUAAUGACACCUUUUGUUUUGUUCUAAAGACUAAAUAGAAAUAAUAGAAAGAGUAGUCAAUGAAUGUAGAAUAAUAAUAUUAUUAUACACACAGAAUUUCUGAGACCAAUAACAGCGCAUUAUGACAGUGUUGGGGGGCAAAAUUGAUAACUAAAUUUGGAAAAAAAGGGCCAAAGAGAAAUUCAAGAAUAAUUUAAAUAUCUAAAAUUUUAUUUUGAAGGUAUAAACUUAAUAGAUUUAACUUUCAAAUAAAAUGACCAGCCUGAAAAUUCGUAGUAAAUUACCAUAUAAAGAGUUUUCUGAUGGUAAAGGUACAGUAAAUAUAAGCCAAAACCCUGAAAAUAUUGAUGAUCAUUUAAAUUAGGAGGGGGUGCCUUUUUGAAACAUGUUUUGGCUAACUCUAACAGCUGGACUUAGCAGAAAGAGAACCAGCUGAAGAAAGUACAUGAACUAUGUCCAUCAGAACUCUAACUGCUCUGAAUGUGAUGAUCAGGAAGAAAUAAAAGCACUCAAAAAUUUUAAUCUGUGGGUCUUUGAAGCAUUCAUGACACUGAGGUGAGAAUCUGCCUGAGCAGCAAUGAGAAUCCUUUUGUAGGUCCAGUCCUUUGAGUGUGGGAUCUACUAAAGGAGAUGGGAAACCUGAAGAGGACUUGUAAAGAGCCUGUAUGGAUGGUGGGGUUUGAAGCUAUCAUAAAUUAGACUAUGCCAGAGCUGUACCAAGAGGAAGAGAAAUACGUUUUCUACACCCUGCCUUUCAUUCUGAAGAUUCUGCAAUCUGGGUACCAGAUAAGCAAUAUUCAAACAAUUUCAGAGGAUGUAACUAAACCACCUGUGGUUUACCAUUGAUCUUUACCAUAAAUCAGAAGAAUGAUGAAAAUUGUGGAAAAAGGAAAUGAGAAAUAUCCUGCAGCUGAAAAUAUAAAUAAGCCAUACAGCUACUUAAAAAAAAAAAAAAAAGUCCUGUAGAGAUUUGACAUGACCAGUAUCAUCACACAAAUUGUUCCAUUUCAAUACUGUUGUGCAGAGUUGUCGGCAAUGUAGGUGAGUAAUUUUAACAGCUAAUGCAAUGGAUCAGAAUAUUCCUCCAGGAUGAGCAAUGAUGGAAAUUGUUUGGGUCAGGCAGUCCCAAAGCAUAAUGUGCAUUCUUUCUAAAAUCUACAAGGACGGAAGAGAGAAGAUAUGUUAAACCUGCUUCCCAGUGGUUUCCAGUUUCAUUUGAAUAUACUUCUGCACAUAAGUCCAUAGGUUUUGGUUAAAAAGACUUCUUUUCCUAGUUUGCUUACAAUUUGUGCUUGUAAGAUCAUCUUAAAUUAGAACACAUGCUGGCAGUAUAAAUGUGUGUAUUUCUUUCUUUAAUGAAACAAAGCACAAAAAAAGAAAAGGGGAAGUAUCUUAUUAAAACAGUAGGUAUAUCAUAAUAAUUAGGUAUAUAGAAUCAAUGUGUUGGAUUUUAAUAGUAUCUCAAGGGUUGUUAGAUUAAUUUUUCAAUUGAACAAAGGUGAAUUUUCAAAGAUUUAACAAACAUAGAAUAUUCUUUUUAAAGUGAAAAUCCUUUCUCCCUCUUCCUCAAGUGAACUCCUUUGCUUAAGAAAACAAGAACUUGUUAAGUCAUAAAUGCAAUUGUGUUCUCUCAGGUAAGGAAAAUGUGCAGGCAGAGAAUCAGUUCAGACUGUGAGCUAAUGCAGCCUCCUCAGUCUGUCAGAAGAACUGUAAAUCCUAUACAGAAGAUUUCACCCAAAUGAAAUGGAUUUUGGCUAUGCUCCUGCCCUGGAUGGGUACUCUGAAGGUACCCAUGAACUUUCUAUUAUUAAUCAGAAAAUUCAUAGAGAGAUGGAGACUCAGCACCCAGCAAAUUCUGUGCCAUUUCACUGCCCCACUUUUGCUGGAGAGAAAAUUGUUAUUUUGUACGGAUUUUUGUUAAAGUGCCAGUCACUUUUUAGUGAUAGUAAUACACCAGGAACUCUAGUUCCAACAGUGGAAAUACAGACAAUCAGAAAACAUCCUACAUAUCUGCAUCUCUGCUUCAUAAAGGAAUAAUUUUGAAAGAGAGAUUGAGUCAGCAUAGUAUUAAUAAAUCCCAAUUUUCUAUCAUAGCACAAUAGAGAAACGUUAGCGGCUCAUAUUGGUAAAAAUGUUUUAAAAACACUUUCACAGCUAAAACAACAGGAUUAAAAAAAAAAAAAAGAAACAUACAGGAAUCUGUUUCUAGGUAUUGGGUAUCUUUCACUCAUUCUUUAUCUUUUGAGAAAAUCACCAUCUUCAUUAAAUGAGUCUCAUUAAUAUCAUACUCCAAGAUAUAAAUGCUUCCAUUUAGGCUGAAAUUUAGUUAGCAAACGUAUUUUGGUCCAUAUGGAAUUGGCUUAAUUAAGACAGACUAAUAUUUUGGGCCAAACUAAUUAAUAGCUUAGGAGUGGAUUCAGCUUUAAGAUUUUUAGCAGUCUCUUAAAGUAGGGUCUCUCAGAGGGAGGCAGCUGCUCAUCAUUGACAUGCAAGGCUAAUACAUUCAGCUUGAAAAUGAACCUGAGUAGUUCCAGCUGAGCUUUGCCACUGCAUGUAUUGGAAAUCUUCUUGUCACCUGAGUAUUUCUAGUGCUUCUUUCAUCUAAUUAGCUCUCAUAUCCUAAACUAAAGUUACAGAAAAACUGGUGUACUCUUGCUGACUGAAUUUGUAGUGGAGUAGAAAAGAUCAAAGAGAAGGCUGAAAACAGUGUCCUGCCACCUCCCAUGGAACUGCAGCACUGCCACCCAUUUCCAGAGACCGAAGAGUGUUCUACUUUGGGAAAAAUGCCUUCUUCUCCACUGGGAGUUGAAGAUCAAAUCCUCAGUGGAUCAAGUCCUUGGACAAAAAUUGUGAUGGUAAAAAUUGCUUGAAAUCCUACAAUUAUUGUUAAACGUAUAAUCAUACAUAUACAUACUACAUAUAUGUUUCUUGUGUGUAUAGGCAAUUAGAAUUUAGAAACAAAGAAACCAAUCCCCAAAAUGCACUACAGCAUAUGAAUAUUUCUAUAGCAAUUUGUUUUGCUUUGAGUAACAUAUGAAUGCUUCCUUAGAGUAGCCAUAUCAUUAUAAUGACUCUUCUGAUGUUUGUAAAUUAUGCUAACAAUUAUCUUUUUUACAAGCAAACAUAAAAAUUCAUCACUAUGUUAACACUGUGGUUAAUAUAGAGAAGGGAUUUCUAAGACAUACAGGUUUUAAUGUACUGCUUUUUUCCUCCCACUUUAUUGUACUUAGCUUCCUUUAGAUAAAGCAGUACAAAAAUUUGCUAAUUAUUUUUCUCACUGCAAUAUGUUUGUAGUGCCACUUUUUAUUUUUUGUCCAGAUUUCUUUAUGGAAGCAAUGUUUCUGCAAAUGGUAUUCUUACAAGUUAAUAAGAAAGGUAUUACGUUAAUCAUAUGUAGUUUCUUCUGUGAAAUCAAGAUGACAGAAAAAUAUUUGAGGAGUUGACAGCUUUUAUAUUUUCAUGUUUUCUUGGUCAGAGCUACUGCUGCUGCACAGCUCUCAAUGUAAAUGGUUUGCUAGAAAAACAGUGGUGUUUUCUUUGUAUUUUAUUUCAUUUAGAAUUGAUCAUGCCUCUGCUUCCAGAUCUACCAAGAUUAAAAGUGCAUCUGAAUUAAUGUCAGCUUUAGAUAUCUAUUACAAUGUCAGUAGCUUGAAAUCUAUUAUAUUAAUGUCACAUAUAUCUAGUAAAGUAGGAACACAAGUCUAGGAAUAGGGAUUUUUAGAGAUCUGACCUGUUUUUCCUCUUUUCUGUAACUUUCUGCCUAAAAAUAAACAAACGUCUGCUGGUUCACAUUCUCUGAAAUAUCUAAGUGCCAAUUUGUCAUCGAAAUCAGUUGGUCAUCUCUAGCUAAGAAUAUUUAAAAGACAUCAGCCUCAGUCUGCUGUCUGUAUGAUGAUUAUUCAAUCAAGAGGUAUCUUUAGAUAUCUUAACCUCAGCGUGCCUGCAGCACUGAAGGUCAACAGUGUCCUGGGCCACACAGGCAGGAGGGCUACCAGCUGCUCAAGGGAUGUCACCCUUCUCCUCUAAAAAGCACUACUGAGACACGUUUGAAAUGCUGUCUUCUUUGUAAGAGAGAAAUGGACAUGCUGGAUCUAGCCCAGCAAAGGGUCACAAAUGCCAUCAAGGAAUGGGAGUAUCUGUUGUAUGAGGAGAGGUUGAGAGAGGUCUCCCAGAAGAGAAUGCCAUGUAGGAGCAAUAUCAAUGCGCAUAUGUUCCUGUUUGCAUGCUGUAAAUAUGAGGCAGACUAUUCUCAGUAGUAGCCAAGGAAAGGACAAGAGACAAUGACCACAAACUAAGAUACAGGCAAUUUAAUUUAAACAUCAGAAAAUCACAUUUACUUGAGAGGGUAAGACACUGGCACAGGUUACCCAGAAAGCCUCUGAGCUGUUCAUUCUUUAAGAUACUUUAAACCCAGCUGGACCAGAUCUGAUCAACCCACUCUAACUAACCACACCUUAAUCUGGGAACUGGACUAUGAUUUCCAAAGGUGCCUUCCCACUUCAGACAUUUUGUGAUUUUAUGGUGAAGAUAUUCCUGUAUUUUAUUUGAGGAAGAAAGGAAGUGAGAAAUAAAAAAAUUCUCCAAAAACAUACCUAAUAGGCAGAAUUAAUUUAAAAUGCAAGAUACACACUUCUCCAAGUAUGCAAUUGAACUGUGUAGCACUGUCUCACAGAAUAAGCUGAGUUAGAAGGGGCCCAUUAGGAUCAUUGAGUCCAACUCCUGGUCCUGUGCAGGACACCCCAAGAGUGACACCAUGUGCCUGACAGCAUUGUCUGAACUCUGUCAGGUUUGGUGCUGUGUCCACUUCCCUGGGGAGCCUGUUCCAGUGCCUUAGCUCCCUCUGGGUGAAGAACCUUUUCCUGAUAUCCAACCUAAACUUCCCUGAUACAGCUUCAUGCCAUUCUCUCAGGUCCUGUCUCUGAUCACAGAGAUGAGAUCAGUACCUGCCUCUUCUUUUUUCCCCACAAGGAACUUGUAACUACAAUGAGGUCUCGUCUCAGUCUCCCCCAGAGUGAACAGACCAAGUGACAUUAUCUGCUCCUCAUAUGGUUUCCCCUCAAGGCUCUUCCACCAUCUUUGUUGCCCUGCUUUGGGCACUCUCUGAUAGCUUAAUAUCUUACAUUGCAGUGCCCAAAACUGCACACAAUAUUCAAGAUGAGGCUUCCCCAGCUCAGAGCAGAGCAGGACAAUCCCCUCCCUUGCCCGGCUGGCCAUGCUGUGCCUGACGCCCCCAGGACACGCUGGGCCCUCCUGGCUGCCAGGGCACUGCUGACUGAUAGUCAGCUUUUCACUGACCAGGACCCCCAGAUUGCUUUCCACUGUGCUGCUCUCCAGUUCCCUAUACCUGGAAAAGCAUGUGAAAUCUUGAGAGUUCCACAUAAUUCUUAUUCGUUAAAAGAUCUUGGGAUAUCUUUUUUGCUCACUCUCAUUCCCUCCUAAUCUCUCAAAAUGCUGCCAUGCAUCAUACUGCAGAGGUUAUAUGUAUUGUAUAAAUAUUUUAGUCAAAUCAAUAAACAACUUAGAUAUGAAACAGAAACAGUGGGACACAGAAUCAUUCUAUGAGCAAGGAAUAAGAUAUGCUUCUCUGUGAAAAUGCUAGGUCUAGAUCUCUUCAGAUUUUCCUAAAUGUUAAAUCACAUCUGGAUGUUUACAUCAGAAGCUAUAGUUUUAUCAUAAUGAAAAUUACCUCCUUUGAACAGAGAGAGGUUUAAUGUUUAUGCAGAGGGAAUAUAAUUAUUGAUUUAACUUUAGAACAGACACUGGGCAAGACUGUGCAUCAUCAUCUCUGUUUACCUAUUAAGGAAAAAAAUAAUCUCUCAAAAUACAAAAGUUAUUGUUAGAAAACUAGACAAUAUGUAUGCUCAGAAAUAAAAAAAAUCAACACAGCUUUUCUUAUGCUGUAGAACAAUUGCAUUAUUUUAGAAAAACUAAGAAAAAUUAGAACGACUAGGAGGAUAAGCAAUAAAUAUUUGCUGAGAAAUAGAAUAAAAAACUGGUUACAACUGAAACAAUGAAAUUGUUAUCAUGUAAAUAUGAAGAUGAAAAGUACUGUAAUGCUAAAGUAGUACUAGUCUUUUUAAGGGACUUGAAAUAGAACUUAGGGAAUCUAUAGAGGUCUGGAAUUACUACUGCUUCUUGUGGGAAGCUCACUCAUAUUUCAAAAAGCAAAGUUUUCCUUAUAAAGUAUGAAAUGAAACACAUGCAGGUAUUUGUCCUCAACAUCUUUGUGCUUUUGAGACAUGAAUAUCAAAAGAAACAGGACAUUAAAAAGAUUUUUGCUAAACUAAAUUAUUACAGAUGAAUGCUGUGAGUCAGUUAUGCAUUUUUUAUGACUAAAAAUAGAAGAGAAGCAUCCAGGCAUGAAAGACAUCAUAUGGUCUGAUAUUUUGUACCACUAAGGUGAUCAGGUAAAGAAAAUUCAGUUCUGUGAGGCCUGUAUAGGCAAGUUACAAUAACCUAGCUAGCCUUGUGGCACAUAAGGAGCUCAGCCUGGUUGUAAUGACAUGACAGAUACUACAGGUUUGUAAACAUGCUUUGAUAAUAUAAACAAAGAAUAUGUAUUCAAUAGAAUAUGCUAAUUGGCAAAGACAAAAAUCUGUGCCAGGCACCAUGCUAACAAAUAGAUAGCAUUGCACAUUUCAGUUUGCUAGCAUUGAUACAAGCGUAGGUUCCAGCACCUGUUCUGGUGAUUACUAAAGAUGUCCUGGCUCUGAAGCAUUCUGGUCUGUGCUACCCAUACAUAGGUACAGAUAGCCCAGAGAUAAAAAUCUGGCUAUCCUCCGUACCUGAUCAAAAAAUUGUUCUCUCUUAACUCUGUCAUUACACCAUCUCUUUUAUUUUUAUCCCACAAAGCCCUCAUUCUCAAGUCUAAAUUCUCCAUUGUGCUGUUGCUUAUUAUGUAAUAUGUUUAUUGGACCCCUUUUACUGAAUUCUUAACUCUUAACUCUGAAUGGCAUAAAAUGUAGAGAUGUCAGAUAUCUAUGUCUCUCUCAAUUCUCCCAGAAAGUCUGAGCUUGUGAACUCUUGCUUUUUUUAGUCUUUGCCAUCUUCUGCUCCCCAUUCACAACAUAAUGUAGCAAAAAUUAUCUUUUUUUUUAAAAAGUCUUAGUGUAUCAGAGCGUCCUCCUUUCCACAGUAAGCCAUUCCUCCAUUGUCAAGGAGCUGUUGUAAAUUGGUUGAUCCAAGUUAAUCCAAGAUGGAAUUUGUGACCAACUAUCAUUCUCCUUCUUCAGCAUUGGAAGAUGGAGGUGUGAUCAACAGCAGUAUUCCUAGACACUUUAACAACUUGAUAUUCUUUAUCUUGUGUUUCUGCAAGAUAUGUUGCCUGUUUCUCUCAUCCUCAUAUAAGACAGUCUUUAAAAUUAAAGAAGCUUGGACCUGGUUAGAACUGACCUUUGGUGAGAUUAUUAAACAUUUUUGUAUAGCAGGUUUAUUUUUAUUGAUUUACAAGCUUUUCAGAUUAAAAAACCUUCAAAAACAACCCAGAAGUGAUCUACCUAGUUUCACCCUGAAAAUUGUAAUUUGUAAUUUUUGUAACACUGGAAUUUCAGUUUUAGCAGGUAAAGAAGUUUGAAAGGCUGUUCCAGGGGGAGAGGGGAGAUAGAGGGAAUUUUGUUUACUUUUUAACUUUGAAGAAAUUGUUCCAUUUUUUUUUUUUCCCUUUCUGGAGAAAAGCAUAUUGCCUAGCCUGCUGUAAAAAAUGAAUAUAUUCUUUUCAGUUAUAAUUUAUAAUAUUCUUACAUUCUUGACUAGAGCAAGAUAUAAUCCAGCAAUUAGAAAUUAGUGUGCCUCACAUUACACCCAUGGAUGUGUAGCCAAGCUAGGCUGAAUGAUCAGGGUAGACAUAGAGCAUCUUAACUUGGCACAGUAAUCUGGACCAAUCAUGCCAAAAGAUGGGCACCAGGAAUCUCACAGAGCUGGCUGCACUGAACUAAAAUGCCAGGCUAAAUCUGCAGUGAAUCCUCCUGCCUCGACAAAGUGGAACAGAUUACUUUGUGAGCUACACAGUCCUUUUAGUAGUAUUUCAUGCAGUUACUGUUAUUACAGUCAGUUCAGUUAUUCCAUCCAGACUUUCUCCACUUUUGAAUGUUUAAAUUUUUAAAUUUCAAAACAGAAAAGUAAGAAAAACAAAAAAAUUCCAACUUUUUAAUAAAAAAAAAAGCUAACAACAACAAUAUUUUUCUUAAUUAACCACAAUUUAUGACAAAAACUAACUUCUGAGUGAAUCAUUAUGGUAAUAAGUUAUAUCAGGAAAUAUUUAUUAUGGACAAACUAGCACGGGCUCAAAAAUUUAGAAGACUGUCCAGCUAUGAUAAGGUCAUUGCUUAAAUGAAAAAGAGAUUAUACAUGUAGACAAAGGGAAAAAAAAGUCCAUUUCUUAAUGCUGUUAUUCCAUAAUUAGGAACAACAGGAGCAGCGGGAUUUAACACUGAUGGAAUUUACUAAAAUGGACUUAAUCCAUAAGAAUUCAUAGCACCAAGGUUUCUGCUAACAUCAAUUAGGGUCCAGAGAUUCACAAGUAUUUGUGAGACCUCAUUAUGAGAUUUUGGAGUGCUACUAAUCUGUAACUUUUGGUACCUCAAUUAUUUUUGAAAAUCCAGUCUCUCUUGCUUUGAAUUUUCCUACAGAAUUAUCAUCUGGGCCUCAAAUGUCUCCUGUAAAUAAGUACAUGGGCCAGGCAAGCUCUAGGCAUGGCUUUUGAGCUGUGAUAGUUUAGCUGAACUGUGGACACAGUGAGCAAAAGCUACAGGCUAGAAGAGCUUUUAACUGUACAGCAAGAAGCAUCUAACACUCCCAUUUCCUAGGACUGAAUAAUGUUUUAGAUUUUUUAACUGAAAGUGGAUUCCUUUUUCUUUGCUCACCUCUUAGUUAGUCUGUUUCUUCUAGAUUUUGUUUAUAUUAAUAAAUUGUACCAGACUCCUUUUUGCCCUACUUAGGCAUAGUUGGUAAUGUUCCUUUGUUUUUAAUGUUAGACACAGAUUUUUCUUUUCUCAUCUUAUUACUUAUCGUUCAUAUUUAAUGCUGCACACAGAAUUAUCUUUUAGACUCUUUUUACCUUUUGAUUUCUUGUAUUUAAUGACACACCCAAUUGUUUGAUAUCCUUUUUUUCCCUAGGAACCUGUCACUGCUCUCUAUUUAGCUGCUUUGAACUAGCUUUCAUCUUUUAGUAUUUAAAUCAUCUAAGUUCUCAUGUAUCAUACUGCAUUGUUCCUCAUUAUUUACUCCUUCUGACUAUAAUGCCAUUCUCUUCAAACUAGUGUUACUUUUUUCUUUGUUUCAUGCUCUUUGCUUUUAAUUUUCCAAGUCACAUUUACGCUUAUUACAUGACUCCCACACCUUAGCUAUUGUCAUUAACCUCAGAUGUGAGACUUUAUCAAAAGCGUUUUCAGAAGCUUGUCUGAAGUGUCUUAUCUACAGCAGCUCGUUUGUCGUCUGUGACCGAGGAGAGUUAUAGAAUGACAGAAGGCUCCUCUCACUGGAAGCUAAGUGCCCAACCCUCUGAGUCCUUUGUUUGAAUGUAGGUCUCCAACAUGGCAGUCUACAAUAGAAGCACUUGACAAAAGGAUUGAUUUUUACAUCCAGCACUGGAAGAAUGCAUAUAAUUUCCAUGUAUUACAUGGUGUAUGUACUACAUAAUUUGAACCUUUUUUUUUCUAGCUGCACUGAAUAUCCUGUUUGAAGCCUGGGCUAUCUUGAAUAUGAUUUCUAUUUUAAAUAAAUGGCAUUAACUUCAGAGUUAAACACUCAGUAGUUGCCAUCACUGCCACAGAACUUUACCAGAUAUUAUGAAUUGUUUGCUUGCCAACCAAAAUCCAAAUCUAAAGCGCAAUUCCAAAUCUGAAAUUAUGCUUCCAAAGUACAGGUCCCUGUAGAGAACCUAAUUGGAACUGGAUGAGUUUUUCCUGUAGAAACUUCAAAAAACAAAUUUCACCAAAUAUGAAUUUACAUUCAAAAAUAUUUUAAAUCCUGAUGAUUCAUAAGGAUCUGUAAAUAAGGAAAUAAAGUAAUGUCUUCAAGAAAUUCAGUGCUAUAUUUUGAUCCUAAAUACUCUUAGUAACACUAUUCAUUCCAUUUCAAGAAAAGUAUUUCAUCACUGAUGAAAGAUGAAAAGGGAAUAUGGGGGAAAUCUCGCCUAUUAGUAGAAUGGGGGAAAAAUGUCUGCAAUUGCAAGGGUGCUUAUAUGGUAAAAGCAUAAAAAAUACCCAAGUAGUAAAAACCAGGAGAUCAGGAACAUUUGAUCUCUAUGACCUGUGCCUCAGAAAUAGGAGACAUUUCCUAAAAGGCAGUAAAUGAGCUUCAAAACUCGUCAUCAUCAUAUCUCAGUGUCUGUAAAAAUGCUAGUAAAAAUCUCAUACUCAUACCAACAGAGACCAAAUCGAGACCUUUUGGAAACAAGGGUCAGAGGGUAUCCUUCAACUUCUACCUACAUCACAUUUCUCUAAUGUAUCUAUUACUUGCUAUCAUCUGAGACUACGGGUAUCACUGAUGACUUGAAUGACACCUUCUGUUGGUUCUCACUGCAAAUUGUGUUAAUAGGAAAUAAAUUAAAUCCAUUAGAGCUGCUGUCUUCAUAGCUGACUUUAAUUCAAAGCUGCUUUGAAUCAAAACAUAAUCAAACUUUAGCCUUGAGGCUUCACAAUCAAGUUAGACUGAUCAAAGGGGGGAAGGUUUGUGUAAUGUUCAAUCUAAUAUAAUUGAGGACCUAACACAGGUGCUUUUGCUCUCCUUAUUGUUAUCCUUCUUCAUAUGAUCCCACCCUUCUUAAAUAUAUGUGUCGGUUUGUUCACUGAACUUUCUGAUCUAGCUUGUUCUGCAUUUCCCUGUAUGUUACAUCUGAUAAUAACCAGGCACUGGAAAACACUCUGGGUAGGAGAUCACUUUUGACCUGGAUUAUGUUGGAAAUGCACCCUUAGGUCAAUUUUUCUUCUCAUACCUAUUUGCAUGUUAUGUUUCCAUUUUUUGACAGUGUGCUGGUUUGGCUGGGGUAGAGUUAAUUUUCUUCACAGUGGCUGGUAUGUGCUAUGUAUUAGACUUGAGCUGAACACAGGGCUGAUAAUAUAGAGAUGUUUUUAUUCUUGCUGAGCAGGGCUUACACAGAGCCAAGGCCUUUUCUGCAUUUUGUACUGCUGUGCUGGCAAAGAAGUUGGGGGUAAAUGGAAUGUUGGAAGGAGACAUAGCCAGGACAGGCAGCCCAAAAUGACCAAAGGAAUAUUCCAGAGUAUGUGACAUCAUACUCAGUGUAUAAAGUGGAGGAAGAAGGAAGAAGAGUGGGGCAUUUGGAGUGACGGCGUUUGUCUUCCCAAGUUACCAUUAAUGUAUAGGAGUCCUGCUCUCCUGGAGACGGCUGAACACCUGUCUGCCUAUGGAAAGCUGUGAAUUAAUUUCUUGUUUGACUUUGUGUGCACUGCUUUUACUUUCCCUAUUAAACUGUCUUUAUCUCAA